rnacentral:sRNA from 20 species
AUUUAUCGACGAAGCACUCCUCCUCCCAGCUUCAUCGAGGGAUCGGCGACCCUCCUCCUCCCAGUUGCCGAUCAGGAUCGAAGGCCCGGCGCACCUCCUCCCGCGCCGGGCCUUCUCU